AAAAAUAACAUAUCGUAAAAAAUAAACAAAGUAUUACUAUCGAAAAGCUAAAUCAAUUUCGCGCCAGAAGGGCUUCAUUGACAUGAGCGGCCGGCACGCUUGCAAAAAGUUAGAAAUUUAGAAGAAAAUAAAAUGGUUCGCUAUAAGUGCAGGUACAUUCUUUGCAAGGUGAUAUUCACUGACAGGAGGAAGAAGCACAGUAUAAAUGAGAAUGACUUUUAUUAUGCAGUGAAGAAUGAAAUAAAUGCAUUACAUGGGGACUAUGCGAUUGCUUCACUGCGAAAUGUACCAAGUUUGGCAGUGCGAUAUGUUGAUGGUAACUCUGGAGUGGUACUCAUUAGGUGCCAGCGGAGUCUACUGAAGAUAGUGCAGUCUUCUAUCACCUUUGUCAAGAAGAUUAAUAAGGAAGAUGGUUUCCUGCAGACAAUUCAUGUUGGAGGCACAAUUAGAUCCUGUCUGAAAUUCCUGAUCAGGUAUCACAGAUCUCGGUUGCCACAGUUACUGAUGGAAUGUAAAACCGAAGAUGAAAAGAAGAAAGUACAAGCAGCUAUUGUGCAAAGUUGUAAGACAAGUACACAAGUGAUGAGUACAUGGGAAAGAAGGGAGAAAUCUGAAACACCAAAAUGAUUAGUAAAGGGAGAUAAGAGCUCUUCAUCAUGGAGGUAACAUUAGUAAAGAGUGGUAAGAAGUCUUCAUUAUGAAGGUGACGUUGUAAAGAGAGAUAAGAAAUCUUCAUUACGGAGGUGACAUUGUAAAGAGUGAUAAGAAAUCAAAAAGAGAUGAGAAAUCUUCAUUAUGGAUGUAACAUUAGUAAAGGGUGGUAAGAAGUCUUCAUUAUGGAGGUAACACUGUAAAGAGUGAUAAGAAAUCUUCAUUAUGGAGGUGACGUUGUAAAGAGAGAUAAGAAAUCAAAGAGAGACAAGAAAUCUUUAUUAUGGAGGUAACAUUAGUAAUGAGAGAUAAGAAAUCUUCAUUAUGGAGGUGACAUUGUAAAGAGAAAUAAGAAAUCUUUAUUAUGGAGGUAACAUUAGUAAUGAGAGAUAAGAAAUCUUUAUUUUGGCGGUAACAUUGGUAAAAGACAGAUAAGAACUUCAAUAGAAACAACUUGAAACAAGCUUAGCAGUAGAAGCUGAAAAUUGGAAACUUUAAAAUGUCGGUGUUGAAGGAAGUGCAGAUGUUACGUGUUAGGUUAGAGUGUGCUGCAUAUCUGCAGUAUCAUUUGUCAGCAGGUUGCAGCAAGGUAUGAGAUUGGGUCAAAAAACGUGUUAUCCCACUUGAAAUUUAUAGUACAACAUGCAGUCUUUAAGCUCACCUGAACACAAAGUGCUUGGGGUGAGCUAUUAUGAUUGCUCACGGUCCAGCAUCCAUUGUUCAUCUCUCUGUCUACAUUUUUCUUCAAACAACAUCAUUUCAGAAACCAUUUGAUGGAAGUUGAUGAAACUUGGGCGGGAUGUUCCUUUUGUGGUUCUCUUCCAAAGUUGUUGAAACACUUGCUUGGUUGCACGUAGGGGCAGUCUGAGCUAAAAUAGAAAGAUCUGUAAACAACAUCACCUCCUAAAUGGCUGGUUGCAUUUUGAAAUAAUUUCACAUAUAUGGUCCUUACGUAAUCCUCUACCAGAAUUCUUCAGAUAAUUCCGAUUCAUCAAAAAACAUAGCUGCCAGAGGGUGUUGUCUGCACACACAUAACCUGCCCAUAUGUAUUUAGUAGAAACUUUUAAAAUAUUCUUGUCAAAAGAACACUGGCAUUAUUUCAGUAUAGUUUCACAGACAUUUCCCUUGCAUGACCAUCUACCAAAACUGUUCAAGUGUGCAUCGUAACUCGGGUUAGCAAUCUAGGGCGGUCAUUGCCCUUUUGCUUAGAUUUGUUACGCUCAGAAAGAUUCAAAGUAGUAUAUUUGACUACAAGAAAGGUUGAUAUACAAAUGUAUGCAUUACUACAGGAAAUUGAAUAUUGAUAAGAAAGUUAUGUACAAUCAAACUUGUUGAUAAAGACCACACUUAGGAGGGCAAAAAUGUGGCCUUUAUUAACAGGUUGUCUUUAUGUACAGAUUACAGUAAUUUCUUACAGCUGAAGUUAAUUGUUUCUUGAGAGAGUCCAAGCUCACAGAAUCUGAGAUGAUGUGUAGUACAGGUUUUGUUGAUUCUACUGGAAAUGUUAGAAUACCAACUGUUUUAAAGUUUAUGCCCCAAGAUUUAUGUUGAAUUCAUUGAUAAUUUGAUUAAAUAAUUAAACAUGUUGUAGGCUGUAACUAUGUUUGUUUGUUGAAAGCAAUUUAACAUUUUUGCAAAAGUUUGAUUUUGAAUACCUGAACACUGAAUUGUGAUGUACAUCUGAAUGAAUGCCCAUGAAAACAGAAGUUGUUAUCAUAAAAAAUUGCAUAUAGCUGUAUCAUAUAUACCCAAUAAUUGCCUGUUUUGUCGAGGGGAAAUGGGGUGGAUUUUGUCCUACAUCCCGUAGGGUCAAGCCAAAUCUGAAGUUGCAAUGGAAGUUACCCAUUAGCCUGGUAAGUAUUGUACAAAGAGUGAUGUUUGGCUUGUGUAAUAGUCUUAACGCUUGAUUGUGAUUUACAAAGAUUUGUUUGCAAGAAACACAUUAAAACAUGAAAUUGAACAAUCAUUUAAUUACAAAGCAUAUAAACAUGAUGUUAUGGAAAAUUGUGGCACAAAAUAUUACGCAAAAUAAAACAAGUACAAGGACAAGCUGGAUGAGCUAGAUGUUCUACUUUCUUCUUCUUCUGAAUCCUAAGUGUCACUGAGGUACAUACAUGCAACUUUGCUAGUGUCAGAGCUCCAGAUAAGCUGCGUAUUGUGUAAAUACGUUCUGAAAUUUACGAAAAACAUUUGAAAUCAAACCUACGCGUACAGGUACACAUUGAAAAAAAAUGGGAUACGUAUUUUACUCGAUUAAAGUGUAUAUCCCAAUUUUUUCGUAAAUCAAGCACAUCCAUUUUGUAAUUGAGUACAGCAAACAAAAGUCGCGUCUCAAAAGCAGACGAUAUCGUAAAGAAAUGCCAUGUUCUUCUUCAAAUAUAUUAAAAUAUAUGACAAGAGAUGAGUCGGAUGAUGCCUGUCGGAUUGCUAAGACAGUUAUCUAUGACAUAUUAUGCGUAACUGUUGAAACAGACAAGGAAAAGCUGAAACACCAUGCAGGUGUUUCUAAUAAGACAUUGAACGAUUGGCAGCCAAAAUAUCACUUGCUGUUGAUAGACCGCAGUGGUCAGCAACUGAAAUUAAGAUGUAGUGUAUGCAUUAAACAAAAUAUUAAAACUAUCUGGGCGAAUGAAGGCUCAACAAAUAUUCAGAAAAAUAGCAUUGAUCGACAUAGCACGUCAGCUGAGCACAUGAAUGCCGAACGGAAAGUUAUACAAACAAACGAACAGUUAUUAUUAUUACCCUUUGAAUGAUUUAGAAAACUGAAAUACCAUUUAGAAAUUCUAAAAUACCCUUUUGAAAAGAAAACUAGGAGUAAAAUACUCUUUAAAAAAGAAUGGGGGGUAAAAUACCCUUUAACCUAAAACCUUAUCUGGAGCUCUGUAGUGUCGUUUAUAUACUGCUACAGUAGUCUCCUGUGAUAUUUUCCUUGUAUAAACAAAAUCAUUUUCUUUAAAUGAUCUGUCUGUCUCAUUAAUUUAUGACAAAAACACAUAAAACCAAAUAACUCAACAUCAUUUAUUCAGCAUUAUGUUGUACAUGCAAAUUUAUGAACUUAUUGAAAUUUAUUGACAAAAAGUAGUGGAAUAUGAAAGGCCGCAACAUAAAAAUUACUGUCUCCUUUGGUUCUCACUAAAGAGUGCCAAAUAGAGACCUAUGAAAAUCCCGGCCAGCCAGUGUAGGAUAUGCGUCAUUGCCAUGGUCAGAUAAGUGAACGCCAUCUGGGCGAUAGAAAUGGGGGUUAUUUCUAUUAAUGUUUUGAUGGUUCAAUGCCCGUCCCAUCUCAUACUGUAAAAUGGUCUGUUUCAGUUUUCUGUUUAUUCUUUUUCUUUUAAGGUCCAUCAUUUUUGCAGAGGCGAGGGUGUUGGGUGUGUCCCUCCAAUUAAAUCUAGGUAGAAUGUCUGUCCAAUCAACAAUAGAAUUAAGAAAAACUGAAAAUAGAUACUUCAGAGCUUUAGAUAAGAUUGAAAUGAUUUUGCAUGUGUUUGCUGAAGAUACAUUGUUUCCACCUACGUGGAUGAUUAUAACAGAAGGUAUGGAAUAAUUGAAUAUACAUGUAUAAUUUUACUUCAUCAAAACUAGAUCUUGUUAAGCACUUCAGAAUAAAAUGCAAAACAAGCAACACGGGCAACUUGCAGCUAGUUUCCAGUUCUUUCAACAUAUUUUUCUAUAACAUAAUUAUAGUAACGAAAAAUAUUGCAUAUUCUGCUUGUUGUCAUUUACAGUUGCCUGUAACAAAUUACAGUGAAGGAACUGGAAACCAGCGGACAAUUAUUUUGCCGUAAAUUAGAUGGUAUUUUUGCACUAGUUUGCCUUCAUUAUGAUUAUACAGAAAUAGUUGAAGUGUUACUGAUUCUUUUUUCUGUAUAGCUCAAAAUGCUAUGGUUGGUAAUCAUGCAUAGUUUAUCCCUCUAGUUUGGAACCAGUUUAAUAUUUCUAUCCGUACAUCAUGAACGGAUUUGGCAAAGAAUAUUUAAAAUAUUAUUCUAUGUCUUCUUCAACACUUCUGCAAAGAUCAGAAACGCUGUUUGUGGCAAAUUCGUAGCCGACUGAACCGAAUUCUGGUAGAAAGUCACUCAGAGUUCAGAUUACUGGAACAUCUAUCGAGCCAUAUAUCUAAAUAAAAAGACAGAAAACUAAAAUGGUAUUAAAUACAUUGCAUGAAAUAUUUAAUUAUUGUCGUACAAGGGGAACUUAGAAAAUUUUGAGACUGUCCAAAUAGAAUAUAGAAAAGUCUGUAUUUAAGGACAUUGCUUACACCAGUCCCUCAAAAUAUUUACACAUUACAUAAAUGCACAUAAGCGAGGGGUUGAAUGCUUGACCUCUCAUGUAAAAGCUAGAAUGGUCAGUACAACAAUUUGUCAUUCUCAUAUGAUCAGUUAAGGUGCUUGGUCAUUCUUAUAUAUAAAUAUUGAAUUGAAGUACAUGUGUACUGAACAUUUAUACAUACAUAGUAGGCCAUGUUGUUACAUAUUCCUCCCAUCCUAACAAGAAAAUUUUAAUUAGUUUGAUAAAAGUUGUCUUCAGUUAAGUAAAAAAAAAAAGGAAUCACCGUCGGUAAGACAACAAAUUCUUUGUUUAACUAUAUUUAUCAGACAGCUAAUUGGAUUUCAAGUUAAUUAAUUUUUGUGACCUUCUUGACCACACCCCCAACAAUCUAAACGCUUGAUUUAGUAUUAACAUUUUGCUUUGUCUUAUUCCUGUCAUUUAUGUACCCUUUUCUGAUCCUAUUAUCUUGUGUUGUCUGUCAUAUCAGUCCUGGUGUAUGUUCCCACUACAAUACAAAUAGUCAUGACUUCUAUGAUGAAAUGCUAUAGGUGUAAUUCUGCGGAGGUGAUCAGCCUCCAUCAGAGUAUGCUUGGAACCUCUUGAAGCAUGUCCUUACUUAUCUGGCCUAUUUUGUCUUAUUGCCAUUUUAUAUGCUUCGUCAAAAGUCUUGGGACUGUUUCUCUCUAUGUGUGCCCUCAUAUCUCUAUCCUGUAUACCUGACAAGAAAAUGCUGAAUAGUUGGGCCUCAAUCAAUGGUUUUAUGUGUUCAUUUUGAUCAGGGUAGGCUUUCUCAGCCAUAGAAAGUAACCUUUCCCCAUGAAAUUUUAUGUCUUCAUCUUGCCUCUGGUGAGAGUUUACUAAAAUCUCAAAUGCUUUAAGUCUGUCCUCUAUAACUCUGUUGUCUAUUGACUCUGUUUUUCAAUUUCCUCGGAGUUCUUUUGGUAAUUAUGUCUCCCACCACACAGUGGUGUGGGAGACAUAUUGAUUUACUUCUGUCUGUG